GGUUCAACACUUCUUGGCUCACAGCCAUAUUUUGAGAGUAAGAAGAAGAAGCGUCUCGUGACGUGGCUCGGACAUUUGACGAAGAAGAUGGUAUUCAUUCCAGAACGAAGCAGAAGUCGAAGAAACGUCUAUGCUUGGGCCACACGAAACGGUCGCUUUCACCGUACCGAGUCCAAUCUCCAACCAAAGCCACACUGAACAAUUCACUGCUUCAACACUUCCUGAACCACUGACCCGUGGCUCAUUGCUUUGAUUGUAUGCCACACACGAAAUGACUGAGACAGUAGUUAGAGGACUCGUCCCCCGCCGAUGCAACGGGCCGGAGCGGCGAAAGGAAGCACGAGCGGUUCAGGAAGACCUUGGGAGAGAGGUACGGGCGAGCCGAGUAGCGACGAAACACACCAAAAUCCUCAACCAGUAACAUCCCGCCUCGCCCCACCGCCGUAAAGUCCUCGUACGUCAACACUGCCGGUCAGGACAAGUACUCAAAGGCUCACACCCGCUCGCUCGACGCUGACCCUUCGCAACAUCCUCAUGCGUCCGAGACUAACCCGCUGAUCAGCACGACAGUGUCUACAAGUAUGACACAGCAGCAACCCUUCACGACGACAAUAGCCAUCCCGCACUACUUCGUGAUGGACACGGUCGAAAUGCUAUUCUGGAAGCCCGAUAUGUACACGUCGUUGCCGUCCAACUAUUUCAUUUUCGACAGCGUCGCCCCACCAAGCGCUGGAUUAGUUGCGAGUGAAGAUCAGUAUGCCUGGGAUCUAUUCAAAGCUUUGUCGUGGGCUAAGAGACCAGCGCCGCAGUUCUGCAUUUCUUUUCCGGGCAGUCGUCCCGGCCAAGUGCUGGGUGCUAUUUCGACGACGGUUGCCCUGAAUGCAGUGAAGGAGAAAACUGCAAAACGGCACGCAACUUUUGGCGUGUUAACAUGUCACCAUCUCUGCUGUAUGGUCAGAAUAGAAUCGUGCUGGGAGGCUUGUUUGAAAGAAUAUACACCAACAGGGUGCCGGCCUGAAAACCACCUUCGUUAGAAUGCAUCUGUCAACAGCAUCAAAAGAGCAAAGCGCUCUGUUCACGCAAUACGCGAGCGCAAUAAGCCACUUGAAUGUUCUGGUUAUGCAGAGGUUCAUAUUACGCGAGUGUCGCCACUGAACAAGAGUGACUGCGUCAUUUACCCCACUAGCUCGUGGAUGCAAGCCCCUAUUCUGAACAGCUCGUAUUCGUGGCAACGGGUCUCUGAUAUGCUUUCUGAGGCACCGAGCACCAAUCUAUCGUUUGCUAUAUCCUUCACCCCGGUUGUGCCUGCGUACACAUUCUCGUCUUAUUCUACUAGGACCAACACAAAGCCGAAAAAUCUUGUGUCUCCAACACGUUUAAGGACUCUUCCGUCUUGUGCGGCGCAUAUUUAUCGACUGCCGUAAUUACGACAGACGGAGCUGAUUGCAGCACGACGAGGUUCAGGGAGGACAACAGGCUCGUCUACUGGUUUGCUACGCUGUCCUUGUAUGAAAAGACUGUACAGUAGAGCUCAGGCGGGCAACAGCACGAAGUUCGGCAUCCUGCUAACAGCAUCCAGUUCGACUACAUUUAGUUUGUCCCGGUGUCAGCCAACUGGAAAGAGUGAAUGGUGUAAUAAGGUUUCUCAACGACCAGCGUAACUGUAUAAGAACGCUGAAGGAUAGAGAUGGGGCUUCCACAACUUCGUGGGCUGCUGUGUGUUGUUUUUAAACAUUCACCGAAAAGUCCUGUAUCGUUCUUCCAUCGGUUCAUUAAACCCUGCACCUCUGAGA